GCCAGGCGUGGUGGCUCACGCCUGUAAUCCCAUCACUUUGGGAGGCCGAGGCAGGUGGAUCACUUGAGGUCAGGAGUUCGAGACCAGCCUGGCCAACACAGUGAAACCCUGUCUCUA
ensembl:misc_RNA Metazoa_SRP Metazoan signal recognition particle RNA